UCCUGCCCCUUCGCGUGGGUUCCGGUGUCCCUCUGACAUGGCCUUGUUUUUUUGCACCUUCUUCCUUCACAUACGCAGCAGUAUGAUGGCAUCGUCUUCCUCCGCUGCAGUCCUGCAAUCAACCACUUCUCCGAAGGAACCGGCCUGGUUCUUUCUCACGUUGAGGGUGGGGCUGCUCCUGCAGCUCGAGACAGACAGAUUGGUGCAGACACGGGUGUGCGUGCACACCGGCACACGUGCAUAUCUGUGUCCAUUUCUGUGUCUCCGUGUGUUAGAAAUCGUGUGUUCACAAUAAUUCUUCCAAUCCCAGUCUGAUAUCACAGAGUUCAUCCGACUUUUUUCUUUUUCUACAUUUGUAAGUCUCUUCUCCAGCAACAAGAAGCCUGACCCCUUAGCCUUAGUGUUUUCACCUGUUUGGUUAACUCUCCUGUACAACACGCCCCCCGCAACAGCCGCUGCCCCUCCCCUUGUGGAUGCCACCCUCACCCUGUGGGGGCACCAGCUUCCCUGCCCGGCUGUUCCCUGUGGGCUCCCUGUCCCCCUGAGCAUGCUCUGACCACCCCUUCCCAGCCCUGAUGCCCACAAGGGCUGCCCACCCCUGCCUGGCGCCACUGCCUCUGACACCCCACACCUGUCUCGAGGCACACUCCUGACUCCGCCCANCUGCCCAGACUCCCGUCUCCCAUGGGGGGCCACUGGGGCCACCUCCAACCUAAGCACAGACAUCUGUCUACCUCCUUGGCGUUUGGACUGGUCGUUCAUUCAGAAAGGAAAGGCAAUGGAGAGCAAGGGGAGGGAGGAGCUUUCCAGAGCAUUUGAUAGCAUAUCCAGGCAUCCUGCCGUCCCUCUUGUGAACACUUCAGCAUGGUCUUCUCCAACAACAACACAACAUCAUUGUUAUAGCCGACGAAACUAAAGAUAGUUACUCAACAUAUUCAAAUUUCCCUGAGUAUCUCAAAGAUAUUCUUUGUAUAGUACGUUUGUUGGAACCAGAAUUCCAAUGUGGUCCAAGUGGUGCAUCUUACUCCAUUUUCCUUCCGUCUCCCCUGACACCAGUGAUUUGUUUCAGCGACUAGACAUGUAUUUGUCUCUAGAAUAUCCCAUAUUAUGAUUUGGGUUGUUGUGUCCCCAGUGGCUUCAUUUCCCUGCUUCUCUGACCCCCAGAUUUUCUAUAAACUGAUAGACUCUGAGGCUUUAAAAACAGCCUCAGGGGGAUAUAAUUCACACACACAGACAUUGGAAGUGUGGGAUUCAGUGCUCAUUCGUAUACUCACAGAUGUGUGCAUCCAUCACCGCAGCUGAUUUGGAACACGAUUAUCCCCUGCAAGAGGAACGCGACAGGGUUCGGCCGCCACCUCGCCAGCCUCCCAGCCCCUAGCCCUUUAGUCUCCCCGGGUUCUCCCUUCUGGACUUCCCUCUGAAUAGGAUCACAUAAAUAUGUAGACUUUUGCACCUAACCUUUUGUCCUGAGUGUAGUGUUUUCCAGGCUCAUGCACGUUGUGCACGUGUCAGCAGCUCAUUCCUUCCUGUGGCCAAAUAAUGUUCCACCUACGGACAGACCACGUUUACUUGUGACGGGUCUGCUGAUGGAUGUUUGGCUAUUACAAACAAUGCUGUUGCCAACACGAUGUCCACGUUUCUGUGGGGACGUAUGUGUCCAUAUGUCCAACAGGAUCUAUACCUUGGAGUGCCUUUGUUGGGUUGUAGGGUAACUCUAUAAUCUGUCACUCGAGGAACUGUCAGACGGUUUUUCAAAGCAGCUGCACCAUUUUCUGUUCCAACUUACAGCGUGCAAGGGCUCCAAUUUCUCUCCGCUGCUCCUACCCUUGUCAUUGUCCAGUGUUUUUGAUUCUGUCAUCUUUGUGGGCGGGAAGUGGUACACCGUUGUCAUUUUGACUUGUGUUUCUCCCUGAUGAUUAAUAAUGUCAAGCAUCUUUUCAGGUGCUUAUUGGCUUUUUAUGCAUCUUCUUUGGAGAAAUGUCUACUCACAUCCUUUGUCAGUUUUUUUUCUUUCUUCUUUUCAAAUUUUUUUAUUGGGGUAAAAUACAUACAACAUAGAAUUUACCACUGAAACCAGUGCUGAGUGUAGAGUCCACUGGUAUGGAGCGUGUGCGUGUAGUGAUACAACUGUCCCCAUCAGCCGUCUCCAGAACAUUCCUCAUCUUGCAAAACUGAAACUCUGUCCCCAUUAAAUAACUCCCUGUCCCCUCCACCCCCAGCACCAGGCAUCCACUGUUCUACUUUCCGUCUCUAUAAAUUUGACUCCUCUAAGGACCUCAUGUGAGUGGCAUCACACAGCAUUUGUCCUUUUGUGCCUGGCCCAUUUCACUCAGCAUAGUGCCCUCAGGUAUCAGAUCUCCUUCCUUUUCAAGUCUGCGUAUGGUUCCAUCGUGCGGAUGGACCACAUUUUGCUUCCCCGUUCAUCAGUCAUUGGAUGCGUGUGUUGCUGCCACAUUUUAACUAUUGUGGAAAACAUGGCUAUUAACAAAAUGUACAGAUAUCUGAGACUCUGCUUUCAGC
ensembl:lncRNA